rnacentral:lncRNA from 1 species
AAAUCUCCUAAUAAAACUAAAUACAAAUGGGAGCCAGAGAGAAGUUAUCAUUCAAGACCUGAAAUGGAAGAGAAGAAAAAAAAAAAAAAGAAGAAGAAGAAAGUGGAAGGAAAGAAGGAAGAAAACAGCCAAUUAUUCAUUCAUUAAGUAUACACACCAAGUAUGUGUCUGGUUCCAUAAAGAUAAGAUUAAUAUCCAAUGUUUUCUUUCUGUAGUCUCAUUGCUUUGUUGUUUUCAUUGUUCAGUAGCUAAUUUGUGCCUGUUCUUUGUGACCUCAUGGAUUGCAGCAUGCCAAGCUGGACUUGAUCAUUGG